UAAGGAAUAUUGGUCAAUGGGGGCAACCCUGAACCAGCCAUGCCGCGUGCAGGAAGACUGCCCUAUGGGUUGUAAACUGCUUUUGUACCGGAAUAAACCUUCUCUCGUGAGAGAAGCUGAAUGUACGGUAAGAAUAAGGAUCGGCUAACUCCGUGCCAGCAGCCGCGGUAAUACGGAGGAUCCAAGCGUUAUCCGGAUUUAUUGGGUUUAAAGGGUGCGUAGGCGGCUCUUUAAGUCAGGGGUGAAAGACGGUGGCUUAACCAUCGCAGUGCCCUUGAUACUGAAGAGCUUGAAUAGACCUGAGGUAGGCGGAAUGUGACAAGUAGCGGUGAAAUGCAUAGAUAUGUCACAGAACACCAAUUGCGAAGGCAGCUUACUAAAGUCUUAUUGACGCUGAGGCACGAAAGCGUGGGGAUCAAACAG
rnacentral:rRNA from 1 species